UACGUAGGGUGCAAGCGUUAAUCGGAAUUACUGGGCGUAAAGCGUGCGCAGGCGGCUUUGCAAGACAGAUGUGAAAUCCCCGGGCUCAACCUGGGGAACUGCAUUUGUGACUGCAAGGCUAGAGUACGGUAGAGGGGGAUGGAAUCCGCGUGUAGCAGUGAAAUGCGUAGAUAUGCGGAGGAACACCGAUGGCGAAGGCAAUCCCCUGGACCUGUACUGACGCUCAUGCACGAAAGCGUGGGGAGCAAACAGG
rnacentral:rRNA from 1 species